rnacentral:rRNA from 1 species
AAGACCUUGCGCUUUUGGAGCGGCCGAUGCCUGAUUAGCUUGUUGGUAAGGUAAAAGCUUACCAAGGCUUCGAUCAGUAGCUGGUCUGAGAGGACGGCCAGCCACACUGGGACUGAGACACGGCCCAGACUCCUACGGGAGGCAGCAGUGGGGAAUUUUGGACAAUGGGGGCAACCCUGACCCAGCCAUGCCGCGUGAGUGAAGAAGGCCUUCGGGUUGUAAAGCCCUUUCAGCCGGAACGAAACGGUUACGGUUAAUACCCGUGAUUACUGACGGUACCGGAAGAAGAAGCACCGGCUAACUACGUGCCAGCAGCCGCGGUAAUACGUAGGGUGCGAGCGUUAAUCGGAAUUACUGGGCGUAAAGCGUGCGCAGGUGGUUUUGUAAGUCAGAUGUGAAAGCCCCGGGCUCAACCUGGGAACU